UACGUAGGGUGCAAGCGUUAAUCGGAAUUACUGGGCGUAAAGCGUGCGCAGGCGGUUUUGUAAGUCUGUCGUGAAAUCCCCGGGCUCAACCUGGGAAUUGCGAUGGAGACUGCAAGGCUAGAAUCUGGCAGAGGGGGGUAGAAUUCCACGUGUGAGCAGUGAAAUGCGUAGAUAUCGAGAGGAACACCUGCGGCGAAGGCGGGUUGCUGGGCUGACACUGACGCUGAAGUGCGAAAGCUAGGGGAGCGAACGGG
rnacentral:rRNA from 1 species